AGCGAACGCUGGCGGCAGGCCUAACACAUGCAAGUCGAACGAACCCUUCGGAGUUAGUGGCGGACGGGUGAGUAACACGUGGGAACGUGCCUUUUGGUUCGGAAUAACUCAGGGAAACUUGUGCUAAUACCGAAUGUGCCCUUCGGGGGAAAGAUUUAUCGCCAUUAGAGCGGCCCGCGUCUGAUUAGCUAGUUGGUUAGGUAACGGCUCACCAAGGGCACCAUUAGUAGCUGGGUUGGGAGGAUGACCAGCCACACUGGGACUGAGACACGGCCCAGACUCCUACGGGAGGCAGCAGUGGGGAAUCUUGCGCAAUGGGCGAAAGCAUGACGCAGCCAUGCCGCGUGAAUGAUGAAGGUCUUAGGAUUGUAAAAUUCUUUCACCGGGGACGAUAAUGACGGUACCCGGAGAAGAAGCCCCGGCUAACUUCGUG
rnacentral:rRNA from 1 species